rnacentral:lncRNA from 1 species
ACCUGCUCACAGGACAGCCAAGACCAGUCAGCCCACUCAAGAUGUUAAAACAGUCUAUUUCACAAGUCCAGGAACUUUUGUACAGGCUAUCCAUUUCCUAAGAUUUGUUAUUUUUUCCUGUGCCUUAAAAUCAGACACACUUAGGGGAGGAGGUCAUCUUUGUGGCUAUUGAGACAGCUCCAAUGUAUAGAGACACUGCUUGGUGACAACCCUCUCCUUGUCUAUCUAAUUCCCUUCUUUAUGUGGUCUCCUAUCCGCGUGUUAUCUGUCGGCUACUACUAGGGCUGGCUGGAGGGAAACGCGUCUUUGAAAGGAACACUCGGUCCCCUCACUGGCAGGAAUACGAGGAUUUCUUUAAGGACUCGGAUAACUAGAAAGGGGUUCCACUCCCCCAGAAGAAUUUCAGAGUCUGAAUCAUAGAGACCUCCCCCGCUGCCCUCCGCCCAACUUAAGCGGGAGAUGCAAACGGACGAGGUGUCUGUCCUUGGCCCCCACCGGUGACCUGCCAGCAGCGCCCCUCGCCUCGGGUCACUCCCGCUCCCGGACUCACCUGGUGCCGAGGACCAGCGCCGGCAAGAGAGGCAGCAAGUAGUGCGCUGGGCUGAAUUUCAUGCUUGUCACCUGCCGGGGUCCUCCUUUCCUCGCUGCCUCCGCUUCCCCGCUUCCUCCUCCAGGUCCCGUCGCUCCUCCUCGGUGCCCGGCUCUGUCCCCGGCCGGCAGUGAGCCCUCUCCAGCAGCGGACGGAAGGAAACCGACAAACGGACGGCCGCCUCGCGAAGGCAGGCGCUGAGAGCGGGGAGUAUCUUCGGGAGUGAUGUCACCAGCGAGGCGAGCCCUGCCCCGGAUUGUUCGGCGCCGCCGCUCCUGAGCCCGGAGGGCGCGCUGUCACUCGCGCCGCAGGCGGCGCGGGGAGCGGGAGGGGUGCCGGCGAUGGCCCCGCACGCUCAGGCAACGGGCUGCGCUCACCCGGCUGCACGUCCCGGACCCCGGGAGCUGGUCUUUUAUUCCCGCUUCUCCAGAGAAUGGGGAGGUGCCGGGCGGGGGCCAGGGGAGAAACCUAGUUUGCCAGUAACUGAACCUGCAUCCGCGGGAGGAGGUGAGCCAGAAUGCACUGGGGAAGACUCUCAGAGGCUCAGAGUCACAGAUGUUCGUGGUAUUCCCUGGUGUCUCAGUGGUAAGGAAUCUGACUGUGAACCAGGAGACGCAGGAGAAGUGGGUUUGAUCCCUGGGUUGGGAAGAUCCCUUGAAGAAGGAAAUGGCAACCCACUCCAGUAUUCCUGCCUAUGGAAUCCCAUGGAUAGAGGAGCCUGGCAGCCUAUAGUCCACGGGGUCACAAAGAGUCAGACACGACUGAGCACGCGUGCAUGUAAAGAUGUUCACACAGUGUUACCCCCAUUCUCUGUGGUUAAAACUGUCUGCUUCUCCCUUUAUAAAAAUGCACUACUUUGGCUUUAUUUGAAUGCAGUCUCUUUAAAAAUCUAUGGCAUUAGAAUAAUACUGAAGAAAUUAUCGACACAUGAUAUUUUAUCUGCCUGUUUCUAAAAAGUUAUACAUUUUCCUUAGUUGUUCUUGCUUCUUUUCUUCAAACCCCAAAAUUAAACCAUACAUUUUGCUAGUGAUUGUGGUGUGUAUCCCAAAGAGUCACACCAAGAAUAAUAAUCAUUCUCAGUCAUAUUGGCAAAAUCUUGCAUUUUACUAAAUCAGAUACCGAACAUGCCUCUGUACAUGAUACUGAAAUCAAAGUUGAAAAUGUCAUGUUAAAACCGAACUGAAAGUGAUCUUAUAUAAAGACAAUGACCACCAAAUAUUUGUUGCUCUACUACCUUCUUUGAGUAGGAAGUAAGUAAAUGUGUAUAUGAUAUUAGUAUGAUUAUAUGAUAUUAGACUUAUUAGUAUAUAAGUCUACAGUAAGUCACUUACAUAUGAACAAGUGUCAUUCAGAGAGCACAUUUGUUAAGUCUAAUUUGUUCUUAAGUCCAACAGAGUUAGUCUAGACACCCGAGUAAUA